rnacentral:snRNA from 1 species
AUCGCUUCUCGCCUUUUGGCUAAGAUCAAGUGUAGUAUCUGUUCUUAUCAGUUUAAUAUCUGAUACGUCCCCAUCGGGGGACUACAUAUUAAAUGGAUUUUUCGAACAGGGAGUCGGAAAUGGGGCUUGCUCCGUCCGCUCCACGCAUCGACCCGGUAUUGCAGUACCUCCGGGAAAACGGUGCAACACUU